GACGUAGGGCGCGAGCGUUGUCCGGAUUUAUUGGGCGUAAAGAGCUCGUAGGCGGCUUGUCGCGUCGUUCGUGAAAACCUGCGGCUCAACUGCAGGCUUGCGGUCGAUACGGGCAGGCUGGAGUUCGGUAGGGGAGAUCGGAAUUCCUGGUGUAGCGGUGAAAUGCGCAGAUAUCAGGAGGAACACCGGUGGCGAAGGCGGAUCUCUGGGCCGAUACUGACGCUGAGGAGCGAAAGCGUGGGGAGCGAACAGG
rnacentral:rRNA from 1 species